UACGUAGGGUGCAAGCGUUGUCCGGAAUUAUUGGGCGUAAAGAGCUUGUAGGCGGUUUGUCGCGUCUGCUGUGAAAUUUCGGGGCUCAACCCCGAACUUGCAGUGGGUACGGGCAGACUAGAGUGUGGUAGGGAAGACUGGAAUUCCUGGUGUAGCGGUGAAAUGCGCAGAUAUCAGGAGGAACACCGAUGGCGAAGGCAGGUCUCUGGGCCAUAACUGACGCUGAGAAGCGAAAGCAUGGGGAGCGAACAGG
rnacentral:rRNA from 1 species